CCUACGGGGGGCAGCAGUGAGGAAUAUUGGUCAAUGGGCGGAAGCCUGAACCAGCCAAGUCGCGUGAGGGAAUAAGGCCCUACGGGUCGUAAACCUCUUUUGCCGGGGAGCAAGGGCCGGGACGCGUCCCGGCCCGGAGAGUACCCGGAGAAAAAGCAUCGGCUAACUCCGUGCCAGCAGCCGCGGUAAUACGGAGGAUGCGAGCGUUAUCCGGAUUUAUUGGGUUUAAAGGGUGCGUAGGCGGACUGUCAAGUCAGCGGUAAAUUACGGGGGCUCAACCUCCGCCCGCCGUUGAAACUGACGGU
rnacentral:rRNA from 1 species